CUGAAACUCUCUCUCUCUCUCUCUCUCUAACUCUCCCUCUCGAACCGUAAGCAACACACACACACAAAAACUCAAUCAAACUUGCACGAACGUUGGAUCUAAGACCACCAUCGUGAUCCUGAGAACUUCACGAACACGGGGAUACCAAAUUCAGGCUAAACAAAGAUCACAGUGAGUCUUAGAAGGUCCCAAGGAUGCUCGGAGUGUAACGUUGGAAGUGUUUGGACGUAAGAACGCAGAGAUAGACAAGUUCAAGUUUGACCCGUGCCUUUCGAGGUGUUUUCUGGCCAAACCACAGAGAAUUAGACGUCGUGCGAGUUUCCGGCGAACCAGUCCGGCGAGCCGAGGAAGAAGAUGCGCGUGGGGGCGCGUAGGUCCGACCUUCCUAUGGCGCGUGGGGGCGCGUGAGUGGCCCAAAAAUUGUUCUAAAAAUUGUUACGUGUUCGUGACGUCGUGUAGAUUACCGUGGUGAAAAUUAUACGGACGAAGAACGUAACCAAAAUAGGCGAGGGGGUUACGAACCGGCUACUUAUCAGUGAGUGGGCAGUUAUUUUUCAGUAUAUAUAUAUACGUAUACUUGACGUAUUUCCCAGAAAACAUAUUUUAAAAGAAAUACGAUUUAAGUAACAUGUCAUGUAUGCAUCAUAUUUUAGUGUAUGCAUUACCAUAAUUA